AUGACUAGGGAUAACCUUAGGAAGAGACACAUCAUCAAACCCCUUGAUUGUGUUUACUGCUUGGAACAAGAGUCUUGUUCUCACCUAUUUAUUGAAUGUAUAGUUGCUAAACAUCUCUGGGCCCACAUUAAGGAAUAUUUCUCUAGUCAGAUUGGCUCAUCCUUCGAAUCUGUCGCCAGAUUCUGGAUUGCUACCAAAAAGUGCUCAGUUUUAAACACUGUUAGCUCAGCUGUCCUUUGGUGCCUCUGGAAAUAUAGAAAUGCUAUGAUUUUCAGUAACACCUCCUGGAUUUCCAUUCCGCAGGUCUUGAGGUUGAUUAGGAACAUGGUGAGGAACUGGGUGAUUCUCUCCACCGGAUCGGACAAGGAAAGUUGA
rnacentral:rRNA from 1 species